AACUAUCAGUUGUAUUCAACAGUUAAACCAAACAGACCCUUAAGUUCAAACCUCAAUUCCUUCGGCCCUUAAUACUGCAUUUUCUUCUGAAAUACUAAAACUGAGAAUCUUUCAGAAAGCACACUAGACACUAAUAUGCCUAAAGCAAAUAGUCAACAUAGCUAUGGGAAUUAUCAUAACCCAGCAUCCCAUCUUUCUUUCCCUACAAUUUUCUUUCUGGUUCCAAAUUGUUGGGAAGCUAACAUGCUGGAAUGUAAAGCUUCACAGGGAAAUUAUUUUUCUACUUGUGUGUAAUCCUCUUUCUACCACCACCCCUACUUGAUAGUGUAUUCUUUGAAGUGCCUGUAAGUUUCUUUGGAGGUUCUUCCUCACUUUUUGCAUCAUCACUGCCUUCAUCAAAACUCUCAGUUUUGUCCGAGGACUCUUCGUCUGGCAAUUUUCCAAAAGUUUUCUUUGUUGACAGCUGAUCUCGAAGCUCUCUAAGUUUUCGUUUCUUUGAAUUCAAAACCCCAAGAAACUAGAAGCAGAGAAUGGCCCAGUUAGUCCUAAAAUAUGAAAAGAGAUGCAGGAUGAGCAUUGACUCUAUUAGCUCAAGUAGAUGGCUGAAACUUAAUGAUGAAGUGCAUUAAAAUACUCAACUGCAAAACAUAAUUUCUAUCUCACUAUAUUUGAAAACAUAUUGACUAAGAAAUACCUUUAUGUAGGAUAGAAACAAGAUAUGCAAGAGCCAUUAACAAUCGACUUUAGAAUAGAGUGCCUUUAGUCAUUAGAAUUGAGCUUCUCCAUACCUAAUGUCUCAUAGAGCAAAAGUUACCAUGACAAGAUGCUUCAUCAAUUCAUCAAAAGAUAGAAAAGCAAAAUUGGCAAACAAGAUUCUUCUCCUAAAUUUUCUCAGUAAAAGGCUAAAGUAGUAUUUCUUACUUGUUCCUUUGUCAUCUGACAGCUAGAUAAAACAUUCAAAAAAAAUCAUCAGUGACUGGAAAUUCAAAAAUCAGAUCACAAAGAUGUCAUACAUCAAAAUCCAACAUGACAAGAAAUUUUUUUGGUGCAUAAACCAAACACGGGCUUGUAAUGUUGAAGGUUCCUAAACUUAUUUAAGCAAACAUGUUAGCGGACAUCUUCCCAUUUUACCAAUCUUCAACUAAAAUUCUUGUGGUAAAACUAGCAAAUAUCAAGAAACAAUGUGAUUGGACCCAAAAAGAAAAAGUAGCGUAAUAAUGAUAAGAAUGCUAGACAUUUAAAGGCACAUACCUUCGCAUAUAUUGCAGAUUCAAAUUCCAUCUUCUCACUGUUGAAUUUCUCACUUUGUGUCAAACACUUCUCAGCUUCCUCCUUCAGCCGUUCAUAUGAUUGAGUCUGUCUGACAACUUCUUCACUCAGCCUUAUAUUUGCAUCCAUGAGAAAGUCCAAGAUUCCAGCAGUAACCUUCUUACUAUCAGGUGAUGGUAGGCACUUCCAUCGCCAUUCUAGCUUAAUCCCUUCUUUUUCAAAUGUCCAUGACAAUCGUUUAUGGCCAUCACCGGCAUCGGUAAACAGAUAAACGGAACCGGGCUGUUGAAACCCCAGGUAUUGCUCGGCCAAAUGAAUGUAUUCGGACACCGGCUGGUCCCACUGCGAUGCUCUCUCCCUCACCUGCUCUUCCGUCGCAUCGCAGACCCAAGCGUUGAGGCCAUCGGUGAUGGACACGUGGAAGUGAGAAUCGAACCAUAUGCCUUUGACGAAAAUUGGUUCGGAUUGGGCGGUGGGGAUUUGAAGCUUCAGGCAGGUGUGCCUGGGAGCUGUUAUUUCCAUUGAGAAGCUGCAAAAGGCAGUAAAAGGUUAUGCUUACUAUGCAGAAAGAAGGAGAGAGAGAGAGGCACUCGAUUUUAGUCUUCCCGCCCCCUGCCGG
rnacentral:misc_RNA from 1 species